GGCCGGUUAGCUCAGUCAAUUGAGUGUGGCGCUAACAAUGCCGAGGUCGCGGGUUCAAUUCCCGUUUGGUCCC
rfam:Apaloderma vittatum contig12382, whole genome shotgun sequence.